ensembl:lncRNA
CAGGAGCCACCAGGACGGUUGAUCACCACGACACCUCCACAGCCCCCUCCCUCCAGUGAGGGAGGAAGCCCAACGAGGCGCGCUUGCAGAGGCAGAAGAGCUGGAGGACGGUGUGUGUUGGACGAGGCUGUGUUGGACGAGGCUGUGUUGGAUGAGGCUAGGUUGGACGAGGCUGUGUUGGAUGAGGCUAGGUUGGACGAGGCUGUGUUGGACGAGGCUGUGUUGGACGAGGCUGUGUUGGACGAGGCUGUGUUGGACGAGGCUGUGUUGGACGAGGCUGUGUUGGACGAGGCUAGGUUGGACGAGGCUGUGUUGGACGAGGCUGUGUUGGACGAGGCUGUGUUGGAUGAGGCUAGGUUGGAUGAGGCUGUGUUGGACGAGGCUGUGUUGGACGAGGCUGUGUUGGAGGAGGCUGUGUUGGAGGAGGCUGUGUUGGACGAGGCUGUGUUGGAUGAGGCUGUGUUGGACGAGGCUGUGUUGGAGGAGGCUGUGUUGGAUGAGGCUGUGUUGGACGAGGCUGUGUUGGACGAGGCUGUGUUGGACGAGGCUGUGUUGGACGAGGCUGUGUUGGAGGAGGCUGUGUUGGAUGAGGCUGUGUUGGAUGAGGCUGUGUUGGAGGAGGCUGUGUUGGAUGACGCUUUGUGGGAUGAGGCUGUGUUGGAUGAGGUUGGAUGAGGCUGUGUUGGAGGAGGCUGUGUUGGUGACCUGGCCCUUCUGCCCGUUGCUAGCUCAGACCCUGGAGGAGGAACAGAAAAGCCGCAGUGAAAACUCAAGCGGACUAUGCGUCUCAUGUCCCACCACCCCCUGCUACCAUGGACCGCAUAACACCCCCCCUGCAACCCCCUCCCAUGGCCCCAAUGGUUUACGUUAUUGGCCUACCUCUGGGGGCCACCUUUUCCACUAUUUCAGGAGCU